rnacentral:misc_RNA from 1 species
AAAAUGUUUUGUAUGGCAACGGUUACUAAAUUUACACAAGCUAAAACGGUUACAAUAAAAAGCUUGUAAAAAGUAUUGUGUUUGUGAAAAAAGUUUUAUAAUAUUUCGUAUAUAAAGUUAUAUAUUUUAUAAUAUCGAGUGAUCUAUAUGAAAUUAGUUUUUUAAAGUGAUCUAUAUUAAAUAAAACAAAGUAUGGGGCAAGCAUGCACUUCACAAGAAGCUCAGGAAAUGUUAAUCGCAGAUUUAAACCUUCCAUCUAGAUCUGUAAUCAAAAAUGACACGAUACAGACUAUUAACAAAUGUCUGGCUGUGGUGAGCAAUAAAUGGAUUUCCACAAUCAAUGUAACUGGCAGGGUGCAUGAAGAUAUUGAACUUGAAAAAUUAAAAAAAGAUCCUUCCACAUUAUCAGAGUUAUUUAAAACAACACAUCGGUUUAAUCAAAGUUCUAUUCUUCAAAAAGUGAAUGUUUAUAUUAUUAAAAAGAAUAUCAGUUUUACAGUUUCAUCAAUAUCAUCUGCUGAAACAGAUUCUAUAUUUGAUCUUUUACUCACUUUGUUGACAAAACAAAAACAAAAAUUGAGUGAAUAUCUGUCAAAGUAUGAACAUUGUAAACUAAUUAAGCAAAGUUCUGAUUUUCAGUAUGACUGGGUUACAUUAAGUGAUCUUUUGUUUCAAGUCUAUGGUAUCAGAUCGAUCAAUUUGAAUUCGAACAAUCAAACAGAAAGCAAUACUAUUUAUCCUAAUGAGUGCUCACAUUUAACUAAAGUUAUUUCAAUAAUUGAAUCAACAAAAACAGUUUAUAUUAUUGAAGAGAUACCUAAUUUUUCUUUAGCAGAUGGUUUAGCUUAUAGUCCUGCAAUAGCUGGGAAAAGCUAUUUAAAAUUCAUGUUUCUCUUUCAACAAUUGCUAGAGAUUUUUGUCUUUGUUAAAAAAUUUGGGUUUUCCUUUCAUACGUCAUUAAGUUUAAAAGAUAUUUCUCUCUCACAUAAUGCAUUAUGGAUAAGUAUGUCCCCUAUUCAAUGUUUAUCAUUUGAUACUAAAAUAGUUGAGCCUGUUUUAAAAAAACCUUUAAUUAGAAUUUAUGAUGGGAUAAAUACAGAACUACAUGACGAAAAAAUAAUUUUAAAUGAAAGUUUAAGCACUUAUACUAAAGCAUGGGUUGAAGGAGAUCUUAAUAAUUUUGAUUAUUUAAUGAUUCUUAAUAAAGUUUCAGGAAGAAAGUUUAAUGAUGUUUUGAAUCAUCCUGUGUUUCCAUGGGUUACAGAUUUUUUGCAACAAUAUUCAGGUUUCCGAGAUCUAACGAAAACGAUGUUUCGACUAAACAAAGGUGAUAGAAUGUUAGAUGAAACAUAUACUUCGGCAUAUCAUGAUUAUGCUCCUCACCACAUAUCUGAUUUUCUUUCGGAUAUUACUUAUUAUCUUUACCAUGCUCGAGAUACUGCUAAAGAAGUACUUUGUAAACAUGUGCGAUCACGAUGGGUACCAAAUGAAUAUCCUGUGUCAAUGGAACGAAUGUAUCAAUGUACGCCAGAUGAAUGUAUUCCAGAGUUUUUCUACAAUCCUAGUAUCCUUGUGUCUAUUCAUAAUGAUUUAAAGGACAUAGUUUUACCAUAUUGGACAGCAAAUAGUAACGAAUUUGUUAAAUAUCAUUAUGAAAUGUUGGAGAGUCCAAAUGUUUCUAAGAAUUUGCAUCAUUGGAUAGAUCUUAUUUUUGGAUACAAACUAGGCGAUACAGCUGCUAAGCAAGACAAAAAUGUGCAUCUUUCUUUGGUUGACGAUCACACAGAUUUGCGCAAUUAUGGUGUUGUUCAGCUCUUUUUUUCUCCGCACCCCCACAAGAAAAUCAGCAGAGAUAAUAUGUUAAGUCAAAGUGGUAGCAGAGAAGAUGUUUCAAUGUCAUGGGAAUAUGUUGAUAUAAGCAAAGAGGCUAUUCAACAGAAUGCUGAAAAUGAGAGCAAUGAUUUCUUAGUUGAGUUUUCUCAAGAAGAUCUUUAUAAAAAGUUUAACGUCCAUAAAUUUAAAAAAGUUAACUUUUUAACAACACUUGAUCAUGUAGAGAAGAUUUUAACUCAUGAGUCUAAUAUUUCUGCUAUCACAGAAAAAGGUAUUGGAACGUAUUAUUUUGGAUCUGUUUUUGAUGAUAUAAAGCCAGAUGAAAACUUUAGCAAUCUGGAUAUUGACCAAUCAAAUCUUGAAGAAGAUGAAAAGCUUUUCCUUUGUCUGGUUAUUGAGACACUCUUAUACAAAGAACUAAAAACAAGAACUGUUAUCCCAACUCUUGACAAUCGAUUAAAAGAAGACCUUUGUUUUUUGAAGGCAUCAAAUCGCAUUGCAAACUGGAUGAAGUUAGCUAUAAAAGAUUGCAUUUAUCCAAAUAUGCCAAUGACGAGCUGCUCUGUUAUGAGUUCUUUAUUAGGCAUUUUUUCCUUUCCUAGUUAUUUCAAAGGUUUACACAAAUUUUUAUUUGAAUUUUACAAUUUUAUUGAUGACUGUGUCACAAGAGAUGAUAAAGCUAAUUUAUGUUUAAAAUUAGAAUGUUACAAUACACAAUUAGUUGAAUUGCUCAAUGUUCUUGAUCCAGAAGGUUUAGAUAUUCUAGUUGGUUAUAUUUUUCCAUUAUUUCAUCAAAAGCAACUUCAAAUACCUAUGUUCCUAUACAUAUUUCCUUCUUUAUCAAAAGCUUUAGGUCCUACAAAAUCAAAGAACCUUUUCAUAAGAGAUCUUCAGAGGAUAUAUGAAAAUAUGAAGAUGUCUGAAGAUGUAUCACUUGUUCAGCAAAGUUUUUUAUCAAAAAUACUAGAUUCUUUUGGACAACAAUGCUUCUUAGAGCUUUUAAUGAACACACUUCUUGAUCUUUUAGUGAUUAAGGAUGCAAAAAUAGAAUCAUUCACACAAUCAUCUUUUAAAAGUGAAUUAUUUGAGAAUUAUGAAGUUUCUCCAUGUUAUUUUGGUGAAACAGACUCAAUAUUUAGUUUAAACCUAGGAAUGUUUUUUAAUGAAGAUAUAGUAAAAAAUGUUGAUGAUUCUGACGGGUUUUUUUCAGAAAACAAAUUUUUUUCCAAUUUCAAAGAAGAAGUAAAACAAAGUAAAUCUGAAUGUUUUGAUUUGAAUAAUGAAUAUAAUCAAGUUGUUAGUUUACAAGAAAAACAUUUAACAAGAGGUCAUAGUAGCAUAAUAGACGUAGAAACAAACCUGGUUCAAAAUACUGACUUGGCUACAUCAGUAUUUACAAAUGAAGUUCAAACAGAUACAGUGCCAAAUAAUAAUACCACUCUCUAUGAAAAUGCCAUCUCUGAAUCACAAAAAAGUUUUUCUUUGUCUUUUAGUGACACAAUACAAGAAAAUGAAUCAUCAUCUUUUCAGUUGUGUCAAUUAGAAAAAGAUGAAUCAAUUGAUAAUUUGAAUUAUCAUUACGACAAGUGCAGCAUCAAGUCAAUUAACAAACUUACCUUUACAGAAACUGUUGUUGAAAGCUUUUUUUGGCUUAUUCCUUGGUUAGGCCCUGUUCUAUCGAUAGAGUAUAUAGCUAGUCCUCUAUUGAAAAAGUUGUUUAGAAUGCAGUUGGAGUUAGAUGACACUACAGAUCCUAUAGAUAAAUUUAUUCAAAAAAUAUCUCCUAUUCUUGAUUGUUUAGUUGAGGUUGUUGUAGUUUAUGGUGAAAAUCUAAUCACAAGUUUAUAUAUUUUUAGUUUAACUAAAUUGAUCCAAACUGCAUUAAAUAGUGCCACAAUAUCAUUGUCUAUAGGCAGUAAUCUUGUCUGCAGUAUCCAAUUGAUGGUAGAAUCAUGCAAGGUUUUAAGUCCAGAAAGUGUUGUUUCACAUUUUGAGACUUUAGCUGAUCAUGUUUUUCAACCGCUAAUUCGUUUACUGUCUUCACUAAAUAUUUUUGUAUCAGGAAGUAUGACCAAGGUGUACUUAUCUCGAAAACUUAUUGAUAUAUUAGGUAUUCUUUGUCAGAAAAUUAAUAGAGAAUUAGCACAAGCUUUAAUGGUUCCUCUUCUGCAGCAAUUUUUUUCUUGCUUUGAUGGUAUAUAUUAUUUGGAAACUGAUUCUAAUCAGAAAAAAGUAAUCAAAAGAAAAAAUCAAAACAAAACUAAAUCAUUAUCAUUUAAUGAAAAUGAUCAGUUUAAUAAUGAUAAAAACAAGAUUGAAAGUUUCAACAAGUCAAAGUUAAGUUUUGUUUCUGCAUCAGAUAAUUUACAGGAUAAAACUAUUUUUGAUGAGCGCUAUGAAGCUGUUUAUGAGACAUUUUCUCCUGCACUAGCUUAUUACGCAUAUGUUUUGAUUUCACGAAUAUUUUCAUCUGUUUAUGUGGAAAAGAUAUUGUUUAACAGUGAGCUAGUCUGGUUUCUAUGCUCAAAACACGAUGAAGAUUUUCAUUUAGCUCAGAGUUUCAAUAAAUCUAUUAUAAAUAGAGCAUUAACAAGUAAAUGGUUUCAACCAAUCAGUGUUGUUAAUCCUGAAGAUGAAAACUAUCAGAAAAACAGAUCUGUAUGGCAGCAUAUUUAUGGCAAUUGGUUCAAUCAUUGGCAACGAAAUAUAGAUGAUAGUAAACCUCAAGAAUUCAUUUUUAAUGAUUGCAAACUUCAAACAUACACUGGUCAUUCAUCACCUAUCCGUGACAUGUAUGUGGCAGAGAAUGAACAUUACUUUCUUUCUGCGAGUCGUGACAAGACUGUUAAAUUAUGGUUACUGAAAAACCAUGGAAAUGGCACUGCUCAAUUAGGAUGUACUCAUACUUACGAUAAACAUAAAAAAGCAGUGUUUUCAGUGCAAGGGAUUGAGUCAAAAAGGCUUGUUUCAUCGUGUGAUGGAAUUGUUCAUGUUUGGGAUCCAAUAGUUGCAACUACUUUAUCUGUGUAUGAUAGUUCUGCUGGCGAAACAGUUACAUGUAUGCAUACAUUGCCAUCACCAAGUACUUGUAUUGGAGUAGCUUCUACUGAUGAUUGUAUGAUGUUCGUCAAAAAAAGGUUGCUCAAUGUUGGAAGCUUUCAACACAACCUAAUGCUGGUACAGUUCGUUGUAUGUGCGUGAGCAGUCGUUGGAUUGCAGCAGGUUUUAGCAAUGGAUUAGUAUCAGUUGUUGACAUUAGAUGUGGAAUUCUUCGAAAACCACCACGUGUUUUUGACACAGAAGUUACACAGUUGCAAACCGUCCCUGAUCGUGGUUUUAUAUCAUUGUCUGCAGAUUCUUGUAUUAGGUUGUGGACUGAAGAUGGAAAUGUCUCACAGCUGCUAAAAC